rnacentral:rRNA from 1 species
GACGAACGCUGGCGGCGUGCCUAAUACAUGCAAGUAGAACGCACAGUUUAUACCGUAGCUUGCUACACCAUAGACUGUGAGUUGCGAACGGGUGAGUAACGCGUAGGUAACCUGCCUGGUAGCGGGGGAUAACUAUUGGAAACGAUAGCUAAUACCGCAUAAUAUUGAUUAUUGCAUGAUAAUUAAUUGAAAGGUGCAAUUGCACCACUACCAGAUGGACCUGCGUUGUAUUAGCUAGUAGGUGAGGUAACGGCUCACCUAGGCGACGAUACAUAGCCGACCUGAGAGGGUGAUCGGCCACACUGGGACUGAGACACGGCCCAGACUCCUACGGGAGGCAGCAGUAGGGAAUCUUCGGCAAUGGACGAAAGUCUGACCGAGCAACGCCGCGUGAGUGAAGAAGGUUUUCGGAUCGUAAAGCUCUGUUGUAAGAGAAGAACGGGUGUGAGAGUGGAAAGUUCACACUGUGACGGUAUCCUACCAGAAAGGGACGGCUAACUACGUG